GAAAUGCGAUAAGUAAUGUGAAUUGCAGAAUUCAGUGAAUCAUCGAAUCUUUGAACGCACCUUGCACUCCUUGGUAUUCCUUGGAGCAUGCCUGUUUGAGUAUCAUGAAAUCUUCAAAGUAAAUCUUUUGUUAACUCAAUUGGUUUCUACUUUGGUAUUGGAGGUCUUUGCAGCUUCACACCUGCUCCUCUUUGUUCAUUAGCUGGAUCUCAGUGUUAUGCUUGGUUCCACUCGGCGUGAUAAGUUAUCUAUCGCUGAGGACACUGUAAAGGUUGCCAAGGUAAAUGCAGAUGAACUGCUUCUAAUAGUCCAUUGACUUGGACAAUACUUUUAUGAUCUGAUCUCAAAUCAGGUAGGACUACCCGCUGAACUUAAGC
rnacentral:misc_RNA from 1 species